rnacentral:rRNA from 1 species
AUUGAACGCUGGCGGCAUGCCUUACACAUGCAAGUCGAACGGCAGCACGGGUGCUUGCACCUGGUGGCGAGUGGCGAACGGGUGAGUAAUGCAUCGGAACGUACCCGGAAGUGGGGGAUAACUCUCCGAAAGGAGUGCUAAUACCGCAUAUUCUGUGAGCAGGAAAGCAGGGGAUCUUCGGACCUUGUGCUUCCGGAGCGGCCGAUGUCAGAUUAGCUAGUUGGUGGGGUAAAAGCCUACCAAGGCGACGAUCUGUAGCGGGUCUGAGAGGAUGAUCCGCCACACUGGAACUGAGACACGGUCCAGACUCCUACGGGAGGCAGCAGUGGGGAAUUUUGGACAAUGGGGGCAACCCUGAUCCAGCCAUGCCGCGUGAGUGAAGAAGGCCUUCGGGUUGUAAGCUCUUUCGGCCGGGAAGAAAUCGCGUUGGCUAAUAUCCAGCGCGGAUGACGGUACCGGCAUAAGAAGCACCGGCUAACUACGUGCCAGCCGCCGCGGUAA